rnacentral:tRNA from 1 species
GUGGUGAGAUGGCUUAGUGGUUAAGAGCACUAACUUCCCUUCCAGAGGUCCUGAGUUCAAAUCCCAGCAACCACUACA